UAGCAACAGUCAACCUGAUUCCGCUGGUCUCCUCUUCAUACACACACACACACACACACACAAACACAUGUUCACAUAAACACACACACUGGUCACCUCCUCAUGUUUUUACAGGUAAUGACCUGGAUGCUCCCCUUGGCUGUGACUGUGCAUGUGUGCCUUCCUGGAGCGAGUGUGUGGGUGUGAGUGUGUUCUGACAGAGGGAUGAGUGAAUGUGUGUCGGUUGACUUGUCAGACCCUCACACCUGCCUCAACUUGCCCACAGGUUCUGCACUCUUAACAUAGUCAGGUCAGGGAGGUGUGUCCUCGCUAUGGUAUGUUCUGACUUGGAUGGAGAGCUUAUCCCAUCAACCGCCACACCCUACAUCCUGUCUACAGCCUGUCUACAUCUCUCUCGCUCUCUCUCUCUCAGGUUUUUAAUCUGUACCUUCCCGCACAAGUCCCUUGGAAUGUCCAGACACGGCCACGACCAAGGAUUCCACGAGUCACCAUGGAGACCAAGGAUUCCUGAGGUCUAGGGCAGGGCAGUCCCAGCCCCCUGAAACAUGAAGAAAAAGGGGCCAGAGAGAAAACAGCGCAGAGGAGAGAAUCUGUUCCAACAUGCAGAGCGAGAGAAAAACAGGGAGAAAGAAAGAAUUACACUAAUCGCAACCCAAAACCUCACCCCCGCCCCUCCCUUACCCUGCAGUUACUCCUCCCUCUCCCUCCCAAAACCCACCCUAACCCUUCCCUAUUUCUCCCCCAAAAAAUCAACGUUCCUCCCUCAAGUCAUCCCAGCCAAACCCAACCCUACUCCUCCCUGUCCAUCUCACCCUUUCUCUCUCACCUCUCUCCCCCUCACAGGUCGACACAAACACACAAUUCUCCUCAAACACGAUGGCUGAGCUUUGGCUCCUGUCCUCACCAGAGACGCAUCAUGUUGACGGGUUUAUUCCCCUGGCGGGCCAGUGAUUCUGAGCGCAACACCGUAGCGCUGCGUGUCACAGUCCAAACCUCGAUCCACAAGUCUGCCAGAUGCAGCACAGUAACCUUUUUAUUUACCUAACUUAUUCACAGGAACUGACUGUACAGGGACACGACUAUUACUCUCUGAGAAAUACAGCGAAGUAGAAAACCCCACCCUGUUGUCUUAUCCAAACGAGAUAACAUACCGCACAUUACUGAGGAAAACAGUUGACCAGAAGAAAAUGUUGAAAAUGAAAACGUUGUGGUGUGUGUUCUCCCCAAAAACCACAUACUAUGUUAAAGUUUGCCAAAUUGUUCUGUUAAGGAAGUUUGUUUUUAUUGUUGUGCGUAUGGUGUGUGAUCUGAGGUAACAUCUAGAAUGGUGUGUUGGUAUGUACUGUCUAUGCAGGUGUUAUUGUAUGGUAUAAUAUGUCCGUGUGAUGUAUCUGUAUGCUGAAUGUUUCUAGUUACAUUUGCUGUGCUUGUAAAAUUGAAUUCUUGAACCUCACAUGACAGAUUUAUUGAAUGUUGUGAAAACCAAGAAACAAAUGGUAAAAAAAUAAAAUAAAAAAACGUUUGUUUUA